rnacentral:rRNA from 1 species
GACGUAGGGGACGAGCGUUGUCCGGAUUUAUUGGGCGUAAAGCGCGCGCAGGCGGCCACGUAAGUCGGAUGUGAAAUCCCGGGGCUCAACCCCGGAACUGCAUUCGAUACUGCGUGGCUCGAGGUAGGUAGGGGAGAUCGGAAUUCCUGGUGUAGCGGUGGAAUGCGCAGAUAUCAGGAGGAACACCGGUAGCGAAGGCGGAUCUCUGGGCCUUACCUGACGCUCAGGCGCGAAAGCUAGGGGAGCGAACAGG